rnacentral:rRNA from 1 species
GACGAACGCUGGCGGCGUGCCUAAUACAUGCAAGUCGAACGCUUCUUUCCUCCCGAGUGCUUGCACUCAAUUGGAAAGAGGAGUGGCGGACGGGUGAGUAACACGUGGGUAACCUACCCAUCAGAGGGGGAUAACACUUGGAAACAGGUGCUAAUACCGCAUAACAGUUUAUGCCGCAAGGCAUAAGAGUGAAAGGCGCUUUCGGGUGUCGUUGAUGGAUGGACCCGCGGUGCAUUAGCUAGUUGGUGAGGUAACGGCUCACCAAGGCCACGAUGCAUAGCCGACCUGAGAGGGUGAUCGGCCACACUGGGACUGAGACACGGCCCAGACUCCUACGGGAGGCAGCAGUAGGGAAUCUUCGGCAAUGGACGAAAGUCUGACCGAGCAACGCCGCGUGAGUGAAGAAGGUUUUCGGAUCGUAAAACUCUGUUGUUAGAGAAGAACAAGGACGUUAGUAACUGAACGUCCCCUGACGGUAUCUAACCAGAAAGCCACGGCUAACUACGUG